UUCCACAUUUAAGAGCAGGUUGCACAUUUAAGGGCAGGUUCCACAUUUAAGGGCAGGUUCCACAUUUAAGAGCAGGUUGCACAUUUAAGGACAGGUUCCACAUUUAAGGGCAGGUUCCAUAUUUAAGAGCAGGUUGCACAUUUAAGGGCAGGUUCCACAUUUAAGAGCAGGUUGCACAUUUAAGGGCAGGUUCCACAUUUAAGGACAAGUUCCACAUUUAAGGGCAGGUUCCAUAUUUAAGGACAGGUUCCACAUUUAUGGUCAGGUUCCACAUUUGAGGGCAGGUUCCACAUUUAAGGUCAGGUUCCAUAUUUAAGAGCAGGUUGCACAUUUAAGGGCAGGUUCCAUAUUUAAGAGCAGGUUGCACAUUUAAGGGCAGGUUCCACAUUUAAGAGCAGGUUCCACAUUUAUGGUCAGGUUGCACAUUUAAGGGCAGGUUCCACAUUUAUGGUCAGGUUCCACAUUUGAGGGCAGGUUCCACAUUUAAGGUCAGGUUCCAUAUUUAAGAGCAGGUUGCACAUUUAAGGGCAGGUUCCAUAUUUAAGAGCAGGUUGCACAUUUAAGGACAGGUUCCACAUUUAAGGGCAGGUUCCAUAUUUAAGAGCAGGUUGCACAUUUAAGGGCAGGUUCCACAUUUAAGAGCAGGUUGCACAUUUAAGGGCAGGUUCCACAUUUAAGGACAGGUUCCACAUUUAUGGUCAGGUUCCACAUUUGAGGGCAGGUUCCACAUUUAAGGUCAGGUUCCAUAUUUAAGAGCAGGUUGCACAUUUAAGGGCAGGUUCCAUAUUUAAGAGCAGGUUGCACAUUUGAGGGCAGGUUCCACAUUUAAGAGCAGGUUCCACAUUUAUGGUCAGGUUGCACAUUUAAGGGCAGGUUCCACAUUUGAGGGCAGGUUCCACAUUUAAGGUUAGGUUCCAUAUUUAAGAGCAGGUUGCACAUUUAAGGCCAGGUUCCAUAUUUAAGAGCAGGUUGCACAUUUAAGGGCAAGUUCCAUAUUUAAGAGCAGGUUGCACAUUUAAGGGCAGGUUCCAUAUUUAAGAGCAGGUUCCACAUUUAAGGGCAGGUUCCAUAUUUAAGAGCAGGUUCCACAUUUGAGGGCAGGUUCCACAUUUAAGGUUAGGUUCCAUAUUUAAGAGCAGGUUGCACAUUUAAGGGCAGGUUCCAUAUUUAAGAGCAGGUUGCACAUUUAAGGGCAGGUUCCACAUUUAAGGACAGGUUCCACAUUUAAGGACAGGUUCCACAUUUGAGGGCAGGUUCCACAUUUAAGGUCAGGUUCCAUAUUUAAGAGCAGGUUGCACAUUUAAGGGCAGGUUCCAUAUUUAAGAGCAGGUUGCACAUUUAAGGGCAGGUUCCACAUUUAAGAGCAGGUUGCACAUUUAAGGGCAGGUUCCACAU